rnacentral:lncRNA from 1 species
AUACAGAGGCGACUGCUAACAGUAAACUACUGAACUGAGAAUGUGACCCCCUUUGGGGGAAUCAGAGAAAGGACUGAAAGAGCUGAAGGGGCUUGGGACCCCAUAAGAACAAAAAUGCCAACCAACCAGAGCUUCCAGGGUCUAAAACACUACCCAAAGACUAUACAUGGACUGAUUCUGGGCUCCAACUGCAUAGCCAAUGUUGCACUAUCUACAACGUCCUGUUGAGAUGCAAUGCCAGAGGAGAAUCAGAGACACAAGGCAUCCUGUUUGAUCAGGAACAAGGUCACCCAGCCAGGCUUCAAAGAUUUUGUGGUUUCCAGUCAGGACGUCAGAGAAAGACAACCUUCUUCCCAACAAGGCACUGUUGGGGGUCAAAGCCAGGAAUCCCAAUUAAGAGAUCAACAGCAGCAGCAAAGUCUUCAGCAGUCACAGGAGCAGCAACCACAACCGCAGUUGCAGCAGACAAAGCAGCCACAGAGGCCAGUCAAAGGACAGCCACUACCACAGCAGCAACAGCAACAAAAUCAGCGGCCACGGCCUAGAUACCAGCAACCAAGAAGAGCUGUGUGAUCUUCUCAAGGCCAGUUUUAUCCAAAGUAAAUGGGAAGAUAAUGAGCUAAGAAGACAAAGUUCUUAGAAGAUUAUGAGUUAUAUCUUUGUCUUUAUCCUACCAAUAAAAUGUUGAGCAUGC